UUUAUUCUAUUGAGUAAUUCUAUACUGUUAUAGAAUUUAUAAUGUUAAAACUAGUAACAAGAAGAAGACCUUCUCUCAAAUGCAAGUAUAAAUCAGCAAGGACCCACCGCUGAUAAUUAACACACAUGAAAUUAUAUUAGCAACCCCUCAAGAAAACCCUAAUAAAUUUUAUGUUAACCUGACACAAGAGCAUUAAAAGAAAGAUUUAAAAAAAAAGAAGGAACUCGGCAAACAAUAACCCCGCCUGUUUACCAAAAACAUCGCCUCUUGAAUAAUUAUAAGAGGUCCAGCCUGCCCAGUGAUUUAUUUAACGGCCGCGGUAUCUUAACCGCGCGAAGGUAGCAUAAUCAAUUGUUCUUUAAAUGGGGACUUGUAUGAAUGGCACCACGAAGGUUGUACUGUCUCCUUUUUUUAAUCAGUGAAACUAAUCCCCCCGUGAAGAAGCGGGAAUAAAAAUAUAAGACGAGAAGACCCUAUGGAGCUUCAAACUAAAUAACAAGUAUCAUCCCCUUUAAAUUUUUUCAGAAUGAAGGCCUUUAUUUUUAUACUAUAAUUAAUAGUUUUAGGUUGGGGUGACCGCGGAGUAUAAUCCAACCUCCGCACUGAAAGAAUUAACUUCUGAACUAAGAGCUACAACUCUAAGUACCAAUAAAUUGACACCAUUUGACCCAAUAUUUUGACCAACGAACCAAGUUACCCUAGGGAUAACAGCGCAAUCCACUUUAAGAGAUCCUAUCAAAAAGUGGGCUUACGACCUCGAUGUUGGAUCAGGGUAUCCCAGUGGUGCAGCCGCUACUA
rnacentral:rRNA from 1 species